rnacentral:lncRNA from 1 species
GCGGCAGUUGUCUACUAGUCGUGGUGAAGGUAAGGGUGGUGGUGCUGGCAGUGGUUAUACUGUCCCAUACACACCCACACACACACACACACACACACUGCCAUGAACACUCAAAAGACAAUCACACACACACAUGUGAUGUGUUGCUAUAUCACCGAUAGAUUUCAAGCAGUGCCAAUCACCUGUCACAAUGCGGCAAGACAAGCAGUGCAAUUGCACGCCUUCACCACAACCUCCACACUGCCUUAUCUUCAUCAAUUAAAGGCUCAGACGUGAAGACGGAAGUAAUAGAAGAAAGAAGAAGGAGAAAUAAAGGAGGAGGACGAAGAAUAAACGAGAAAUAGAGGCGGAAUAGGAGAAGGAGCUAAGGUGGAAUAUUUAGAUGUUUGUCGGGUUCCUGAAGAUGCGUCAACGUAUUAUCAUCCACGCAAGCUUCCCCAACCCAGCCAGUGUACCACAGGACGGGAGGAGGAAGCCAGCGGCUGCAUGCACCAUUGAAUAGGACGGCAUUGUAUUCCUCCCACAGGAGUGACUACAGCGAAGCAAGCCCCGAAUAAAGUGUUGAGUGACCGUGAUGAUUCAGUACUACUAACACCAAAGAAGUGAGGAAGUGUUCGGAGUGAACGUGCAAGACAUACAACAGACACCAGACUGCUGCCGCUGCUGCUACUGCCGGUGUAGCCAAAGGAACAAAAGGUCCGGAGCAGGAGGAAGAAAUGGGUGAUUCUUGGAAACGCAGCAAUGAAGUUGUGAAGGUUGGCCACAAAUCUUCAUCACUGGUGUAGUGUAUUUCAUUGACCAUUUGUAGAUUGGGUGGAUAAACUUGUAGAUUUUGUAGACAGUUGUAGAUGUGUAGCUAGUGGGUAAGGUUUUUUGCAAUGCCUUAUCUACACCAGCAGAAAACAGUGAUAUGGACAACUUGUGCAUAGCAUAGUGAUAGCAGUGUACAGUGUACAUGUAUACCUCUUUUUCUUUUCAAUGGUAAAUAUUUCUAUUUAAUAUGUUCUAUUUGAUAUGUUUAAUAUGUUUUCAUGUGUUAUUUUAUAUACCUUGCAUUGUGCUAUUCCGUGUGUAAAUCCUCUGCUUCCACGUGUGAAAUGUAUACCAGUAUCCAAUUUUCACCCUUAAUUAAUACGUCCUGUUAUAGGCUUAUUAGUUUUUCAUAUUUCCUACCAGAUGUCUCGGGUGUGUCGCCUAGUGCGUUCCCUUGUCCCGCUCAAGAGAGAGAGAGAGAGACUCGGAUCACUACCAAGUCGAGCUGCCUGCCCACCUCCCUCCAUUGUCCUUCCCCUCUCACUUGAGUAUUGUGAACGUUGUAUUUAUUUUCAUCACGCCUCUGUGUUUGUAAAGGGAGAGUGUUCCAAUAAGUGAGCUCUGUUUGCAGUCACAUGUGUAUUUCAAAGGUGUUUUGCCAAGUGCUGUGCUGAGGUGUUGUGGUGUAUCUGUCUGUACGGUGUUCGAGCUAGCUUUCGCCCACGUUUGUGACGCUACCUUCCGUACUGCAUUUAAUGUCUGUGGAUUUCCCGUUUUUACCCACUCUCCUGAUAAACCUUAAAAGCGUGGUUAUGUUGGUUCAGUGUACAUUUCCCUCGUGUAACGGAGUGGUAAGUCAACCUCCCUCCACGUACAACGGUGUCGGGAAUCAUUUCCCCCGUGUAUUUCCCCCGUGUCACGGUGUCAUGGGAUAUUUUCUCUUAUGUUUGUUUGCUUGUGGGGUAAUGAUACGUGUAGUGUGGCAUACUGGUGAGUGAAGCUGCAUAAGUCUCUACUCUCCAUCGUGGAUCUGUUUCCCCAUGAUUAUUACUCUUGUAUGUGUUAUCAUUGGUGAAAUUUUCAAAGCAAUGUUUAGAAGCAAGAAAUAGGGCAAAUAGGAUCCUGGGUUUUAUAAAUAGAAAUGUUAGUUAUAAAAGUAAGGAAGUGGUGCGUAGCUUAUAUAAUUCCUAUGUUAG